rnacentral:rRNA from 1 species
GACGAACGCUGGCGGCGUGCUUAACACAUGCAAGUCGAACGGAAAGGCCCUGCUUUUGUGGGGUGCUCGAGUGGCGAACGGGUGAGUAACACGUGAGUAACCUGCCCUUGACUUUGGGAUAACUUCAGGAAACUGGGGCUAAUACCGGAUAGGAGCUCCUGCUGCGUGGUGGGGGUUGGAAAGUUUCGGCGGUUGGGGAUGGACUCGCGGCUUAUCAGCUUGUUGGUGGGGUAGUGGCUUACCAAGGCUUUGACGGGUAGCCGGCCUGAGAGGGUGGCCGGCCACAUUGGGACUGAGAUACGGCCCAGACUCCUACGGGAGGCAGCAGUGGGGAAUAUUGCACAAUGGGCGGAAGCCUGAUGCAGCAACGCCGCGUGCGGGAUGACGGCCUUCGGGUUGUAAACCGCUUUCGCCUGUGACGAAGCGUGAGUGACGGUAAUGGGUAAAGAAGCACCGGCUAACUACGUG